rnacentral:lncRNA from 1 species
GAGUUACCCCAGCGAGAACCGGGAACCGGGCUGCAGACUCUCCGGCCCGGGGGAGGGAUGGUGAGCAGGGGCCUGGCUGGACCGAGGGCCAGACUCCAGGAACAGAGGAACACAUUCGGGGACAGACAGUAGAGACGCGGACGGGGACGCUGAGGGACAGACUUGGAGGAGGGGCAUAUGAGGGGACCUAAAGAGGAUAGAGGUGCUAUCAGGAGAGGGGCGGACUAAUAAAAUGAAAGGGCCAGGGCCAGAGGACUCGCGGAUCCGUGGGAGGAAGGGUGGGUGAAAUAGGACGGAAAGCCAGUCAUGGCGGGAAAGACAGAGGGACAACCCCAUACAGAUACGUGGAAAGACAUGCGGAGGAGGUGAUGGGGGGAUCUUGCAAGGCAGUCGCAAUAUUGGGGGUAGCCGAUACCUUCCAGAGUGUGGAGAGUGGGACUGGCUUGGACGGCGCG